GAUGAACGCUGGCGGCGUGCUUAACACAUGCAAGUCGAACGAAGCACUUUAUUUGAUUUCCUUCGGGACUGAUUAUUUUGUGACUGAGUGGCGGACGGGUGAGUAACGCGUGGGUAACCUGCCUUGUACAGGGGGAUAACAGUUGGAAACGGCUGCUAAUACCGCAUAAGCGCACAGCAUCGCAUGAUGCAGUGUGAAAAACUCCGGUGGUAUAAGAUGGACCCGCGUUGGAUUAGCUAGUUGGUGAGGUAACGGCCCACCAAGGCGACGAUCCAUAGCCGACCUGAGAGGGUGACCGGCCACAUUGGGACUGAGACACGGCCCAAACUCCUACGGGAGGCAGCAGUGGGGAAUAUUGCACAAUGGGCGAAAGCCUGAUGCAGCGACGCCGCGUGAGCGAAGAAGUAUUUCGGUAUGUAAAGCUCUAUCAGCGGGGAAGAUAAUGACGGUACCUGACUAAGAAGCACCGGCUAAAUACGUG
rnacentral:rRNA from 1 species